rnacentral:rRNA from 1 species
CUACGGGAGGCAGCAGUAGGGAGUUUUCCGCAAUGGGCGAAAGCCUGACAGAGCAACGCCGCGUGAGGGAUGAAGGUCUUCGGAUCGUAAACCUUUGUCUAGAGGGAAGAUAAUGACGGUACCUCUGGAGGAAGCCACGGCUAACUACGUGCCAGCAGCCGCGGUAAUACGUAGGUGGCAAGCGUUGUCCGGAAUUACUGGGCGUAAAGGGCGUGUAGGCGGUCCUUUAAGUCAGACGUGAAAUCCCUGGGCUUAACCCAGGAACUGCGUUUGAAACUGGAGGACUUGAGGACCGGAGAGGGUAGUGGAAUUCCCAGUGUAGCGGUGAAAUGCGUAGAUAUUGGGAGGAACACCAGUGGCGAAGGCGACUACCUGGACGGCACCUGACGCUGAGGCGCGAAAGCUAGGGGAGCAAACGGGAUUAGAUACCCCGGUAGC